rnacentral:lncRNA from 1 species
GAGAAAGAUUUAAAGGAAAACAGAACGAGGGAGAGAUUGCUUACCUGAUCUGAAGGUGGCAAGAGAGCUGUUCGGCAUGGGAAGGGUGAGCUGCUGCGCUGGGCCGGUCUGAUGUGUUGAGGGCUCAGUGGGUCUCUUCCAGAGGGGGAGCAGGGAGAGAGGGCUGGUCUCCUGUCCCAUGUGUCAGCACCACAUGUUAAAACAUGCACUCUAAAUAAAGAGACCUGCCAAAUGGGCUUUGUGUGAGCAACAUGGCUAUUUAUUCAUCUGGGUGCGGGCAGGCUGAGUCUGAAAAGAGAGUCAGCGAAGGGGCGUGGGAUAGCAGUCGGUUUUAUAGGUUGUGGGGAAGGCAGUGGAAAGUUACAGGAGUUAUAGUUUAGGGCAAUUUUUUUGCAAGCUGGGAGGGGGGUCAUAGGGUGUGGAGUCACGAGGUUGGCCAAGGUCGGUUGCAAAGUCCAGCGGCCUUGUCAAUUGAGGCCGGAAUGAGAAGCAAUAGAAGAGUGUCUCGGGUUAGUUACGCACCGCAGGGAUUGAUGGUCCUUCCAUUUGUCACAAUUUUCCGGCUACUUCAGGUUUUCUAAUUCCAGAAGGCCCUCCAGAGGUGUACGUGUGGGUCAUGGGGGUCAUCAUGCCGUCCACAGCGCGAUCAGGCCUUCCAAACCCAGAUUCUCAGAAUUAAACAUUUUCAUGUCCUGGAGGAUGACACAAAAAUACCUCAAAAUGUGUUUGUCAAGAGAUUAUACUCGGGAUUUUGUGGACCAUUUUCUAAUUUCCAAUUCAGACAAAGGCCUCCUAGCAAAGCUGGUCUUUCCUAGGGCAUCCCCCUACCCCCCAGCGCCCUGCCUCAUUCCUGAAUGGCCUGUCCACAUAGAGCACUGCCUGCGUGGUCACUGAGGGAGGCAGUUGCAUCCCAGAGAAGGUGGUGUCCAGGGCUUGAUGAGGAAGCUCUGUGUGUGGCCAGGAGAUGUCCCAGGAGCUGGCUGGUGCCCACCUUCUCUCAUUUCCUUACCACCCUCCUUCUUGUGUUGCUGCUUUCCCCUUCCCAGCUCUAAACUACCCAUGGUGCUGGAGGGCCAGAGAAGAAGUGUUACUACAGCUGCCCCCACUACCCACAACGAGCCCCAGUCUGCACACAGAGGCUCUGGGCUCCUUUUUCCCAAUCACAGACGAGAAUGUGUGUGAAAGAAGAGGCGCUUGUUCUCUCACUGGAGCUCCAGGAUGGGAAGAACUCAUCGGUAUCACAGAGACUGAAGAGGGAGCUAAGAAUUGUGGAGCAAGAACAGCAGCAGCAGCAAGUCUGAGCCCAAAUUCCAACAGCCAGUUUGAAGACUCCCACAGAGUAACGGGAUCAGCAUGAGAAUACAGCCUCUUCAUCUCCCUAUCCUGUGACUUCACCCUGCACUCUUCCAACCAGUGAUCUCCACAUUGCAGCCCAUUCCAAAACCCUAAAAAACCCCUACCCCCAAACUCCUCAGGGAGACAGAUCUGAGGUUUCCUCUCAUCCCCUCAUUUGGUGACCUGAUGAUUACACCUCUUUGCCUGCUACAACCUCGUGUCUCAGCUUAUUGAUUAGCUGUGUGCAUUGGGCAAUGAACCUAUUUCAGUUACACUUGUGCACUGUUGGCAGGAAUGUAAAAUGGUUCAGCUACUAUGGAAAGUGGUAUGAAAGUUUCUCCAAAAGUCAAAAAUAGAAAUUCUCAGGUAACCCAGCAGGCCCACUUCCGGGCAUGUAUAUCCAAAGGAAGUGAAAUCAGUAUCUCAAAGAGACAUUUGUACACCCAUGUUCAUAAUACCAUUAUUCAUACUA